ACCCCCGUGAGAAUGCCCCACAGUUCCCCGCCCGGGAACAAGGAGCUGGUAUCAGGCACACUCCCCCGUUAGCCCAUGACACCUUGCUUAGCCACACCCUCAAGGGAACUCAGCAGUGAUAAACAUUAAGCCAUAAGUGAAAACUUGACUUAGUUAAAGCUAAGAGGGUCGGUAAAACUCGUGCCAGCCACCGCGGUUAUACGAGAGACCCAAGUUGUUAGACACCGGCGUAAAGAGUGGUUAAGUACCCUUACUUACUAAAGCCGAACACCUUCAAAGCUGUUAUACGCACCUGAAGACAGGAAGUUCAAUCACGAAAGUGGCUUUAUACCAACUGAACCCACGAAAGCUAGGAUACAAACUGGGAUUAGAUACCCCACUAUGCCUAGCCUUAAACAUCGAUGACAUUUUACAACUGUCAUCCGCCCGGGUACUACGAGCAUCAGCUUAAAACCCAAAGGACUUGGCGGUGCUUUAGAUCCACCUAGAGGAGCCUGUUCUAGAACCGAUAACCCCCGUUCAACCUCACCCUUCCUUGUUUAUCCC
rnacentral:rRNA from 1 species